rnacentral:rRNA from 1 species
CAGCCGCCACGGUAAUACGUAGGGUGCAAGCGUUAAUCGGAAUUACUGGGCGUAAAGCGUGCGCAGGCGGUUAUAUAAGACAGAUGUGAAAUCCCCGGGCUCAACCUGGGAACUGCAUUUGUGACUGGCAGGCUAGAGUAUGGCAGAGGGGGGUGGAAUUCCGCGUGUAGCAGUGAAAUGCGUAGAGAUCGGAAGGAACAUCUGUGGCGAAGGCGACUAUCUGGGCCAACACUGACACUGAGGCACGAAAGCGUGGGGAGCAAACAGGAUUAGAUACCCGCGUAGUCCCUGUCUCUUAUAC